CACGAACCGUACGAACGUUAUUCGGAAUUACUGGGCUUAAAGGGUUUGUAGGCGGCCAUGUAAGUCAGGUGUGAAAUCCCUCGGCUCAACCGAGGAACGGCGCUUGAUACUGCAUGGCUUGAGGGAGACAGGGGUAAGCGGAACUGAUGGUGGAGCGGUGAAAUGCGUUGAUAUCAUCAGGAACACCGGUGGCGAAAGCGACUUCCUGGACCAGUACCGACGUUCAGGCACGAAAGCGUGGGGAGCAAACAGG
rnacentral:rRNA from 1 species